UUCACGUUGGUGGCACAUAUACUAAAACUGGAACAAUACAGAGGAGAGUAACAUGACCCCUGCACAAAGAUGACACGCAAAUUUGUGAAGAAUUCCAUAUUUAU
rnacentral:snRNA from 1 species